GAUCAAGUGUCUUAAGGGCAAUUGGUGGAUGCCUUGGCAUGCACAGGCGAUGAAGGACGUGAUACGCUGCGAUAAGCUA
rnacentral:rRNA from 1 species